UGGUGCCACCAACCAGGACUAAAGGGGCGCAUUGGUACCGGUUCGUGGCACGAACCGGUACCAAUGCGCCCCUUUAGUCCCGGUUGGUGGCACCAA
rfam:Triticum aestivum genome assembly, contig: Triticum_aestivum_CS42_TGACv1_scaffold_435912_5DL